CCUACGGGAGGCAGCAGUGAGGAAUAUUGGUCAAUGGACGAGAGUCUGAACCAGCCAAGUAGCGUGAAGGAUGACUGCCCUAUGGGUUGUAAACUUCUUUUAUAUGGGAAUAAAAUAUUGUAUGUAUAGGCUUUUGUAUGUACCAUAUGAAUAAGGAUCGGCUAACUCCGUGCCAGCAGCCGCGGUAAUACGGAGGAUCCGAGCGUUAUCCGGAUUUAUUGGGUUUAAAGGGAGCGUAGGUGGAUUGUUAAGUCAGUUGUGAAAGUUUGCGGCUCAACCGUAAAAUUGCAGUUGAAACUGGCAGUCUUGAGUACAGUAGAGGUGGGCGGAAUUCGUGGUGUAGCGGUGAAAUGCUGAGAUAUCACGAAGAACUCCGAUUGCGAAGGCAGCUCACUGGACUGCAACUGACACUGAGGCUCGAAAGUGUGGGUAUCAAACAGGAUUAGAUACCCGAGUAGUC
rnacentral:rRNA from 1 species